rnacentral:rRNA from 1 species
AUACGUAGGGGGCGAGUGUUGUCCGGAAUGAUUGGGCGUAAAGGGCGCGUAGGCGGCCCGGUAAGUCUGGAGUGAAAGUCCUGUUUUUAAGAUGGGAAUUGCUUUGGAUACUGUCGGGCUUGAGUGCAGGAGAGGUAAGUGGAAUUCCCAGUGCAGCGGUGAAAUGCGUAGAGAUUGGGAGGAACACCAGUGGCGAAGGCGACUUACUGGACUGUAACUGACGCUGAGGCGCGAAAGUGUGGGGAGCAAACAGGAUUAGAUACCCUGGUAGUCCACACUGUAAACGAUGAAUGCUAGGUGUAGGGGGUAUCGACCCCUUCUGUGCCGCAGUCAACACAAUAAGCAUUCCGCCUGGGGAGUACGGCCGCAAGGUUGAAACUCAAAUGAAUUGACGGGG